rnacentral:misc_RNA from 1 species
UACGAAGGGGGCUAGCGUUGUUCGGAAUUACUGGGCGUAAAGCGCACGUAGGCGGAUCUUUAAGUCAGGGGUGAAAUCCUGGAGCUCAACUCCAGAACUGCCUUUGAUACUGAGGGUCUCGAGUCCGGGAGAGGUGGGUGGAACUGCGAGUGUAGAGGUGAAAUUCGUAGAUAUUCGGAAGAACACCAGUGGCGAAGGCGGCUCACUGGCUCGAUACUGACGCUGAGGUGCGAAAGCGUGGGGAGCAAACAGG